CAGCAGUAGGGAAUCUUCCGCAAUGGGCGAAAGCCUGACGGAGCAACGCCGCGUGAGUGAUGAAGGUCUUCGGAUCGUAAAACUCUGUUAUUAGGGAAGAACAUAUGUGUAAGUAACUGUGCACAUCUUGACGGUACCUAGUCAGAAAGCCACGGCUAACUACGUGCCAGCAGCCGCGGUAAUACGUAGGUGGCAAGCGUUAUCCGGAAUUAUUGGGCGUAAAGCGCGCGUAGGCGGUUUUUUAAGUCUGAUGUGAAAGCCCACGGCUCAACCGUGGAGGG
rnacentral:rRNA from 1 species